rnacentral:rRNA from 1 species
CCUACGGGAGGCUGCAGUGGGGAAUAUUGCGCAAUGGGCGAAAGCCUGACGCAGCGACGCCGCGUGAGGGAUGAAGGUCUUCGGAUCGUAAACCUCUGUCAGCAGGGAAGAACGGUCACUGUGCUAAUCAGCAGUGAAUUGACGGUACCUGCAAAGGAAGCACCGGCUAACUCCGUGCCAGCAGCCGCGGUAAUACGGAGGGUGCGAGCGUUAAUCGGAAUUACUGGGCGUAAAGCGCUCGUAGGCGGUAUGUCAAGUCAAGGGUGAAAUCCCCGCGCUCAACGUGGGAACUGCCUUUGAAACUGGCAAACUGGAGUGUGUGAGAGGAGAGUAGAAUUCCAGGUGUAGGAGUGAAAUCCGUAGAGAUCUGGAGGAACAUCAGUGGCGAAGGCGACUAGCUGGAAAAUAACUGACGCUGAGGAGCGAAAGCGUGGGUAGCAAACAGGAUUAGAUACCCUUGUAGUC